UUGGAAUAUGACGCGAGGAAAGGAUACGGUUGUAAAACAAAUAAAAUUAAUUUAUAGACAAGUUAAACGUCUAAAACAUAUUUUGUGGCGUUUAAAUUACCUAUAGAACUUAAUAGAAUUAAAAAACAUGGGUAAUCCUGUCCUAACAGUCAAACCUACACCACAAUAUCUGGUGUCAUGCCUGUUUUUUGCCCUCAGUUUCACCCAAGUGCACUUCAGAUGGCCACAGAGUCCUAGAAAUACUAUUCUGGCAAAUGUAAGUGUGACCUUAGAGUUUAACCUGCCUCUGUUUGUCAUUCAAGUGCUCCUGUUUGGGCUUCAAUCAGUCUACGAUUAGGAUGCAGGAUGGAUGCCUUCAUAAAGAACACAGAAUAAUCUGCUCUGCUCUGAGGAGCCAUGAUGUUUCUACCAACACUGCAACAACGCAUAUCCAGAACAUCAUCUACAAAGCAACCGGUUUGACAGCAUGCACAUAUACUGUACAAUAAAGCAAGAGCCUCAUUAUCCAGGUCACCUGGGCAGACACAGUCCCUCCAGUGGUUCCUGGUCUUCCUUUGGGCCUCUUCUCAGUCUGGGCUGCUGGUAUCCAUGGUCUUUGGGUCAGUACCCACAGCUUAUGACCAUAGGUGACACUAGGGGCGUAGACCGAACAUACAUUCUCAGACUCAGGUCCUUCUUUAGCACAACCGACUGAAUUGUCUAAAUUCUUUCAACACAAGGUUGUAAGUAGGCUGAAUGUGCGUGACCUUCAAAUCCCCGGGCAGCACUGCGUGAUCAUGCUAUCAUGAUGAAUGCUACCACAUGGGCUUGGCAGUUGAUUUUUUAAAACCCCACUGUCUUUUAUUGCAUAUUUCCACCGCAUCUAGACAUCCACACCGAAACGCUCAGAGCUUGUUUUUCUUCAAGGUAAAAUUAAUCUUGGUUUCUAAAGUGUGAGCAAAAGCCAAUGAGAACCACCCACCCUGGCAAAAAAAUACCUGUAAGGAGGAAAUUCAUACAGGUGCAUUGAGAAAUAUACAGGCCCCACAUAAAGUCCUAGCUGGGUGACAGAAAUCACACACACACACACACACACACACACACACACACACACACACACACACACACACACACACACACACACACACACACACACACACACAUUUCAGGUAUAGGUGCACUUAUAUGAUCAAGUGACCCUGGUGACCAACUGCAAAGCUCUGCACACACUUCAAUGAAAGGCUUAGAUUAUGCAGUGGUUAUUACCCAGGUAUUCAGAUGAUUUUCAUUUUCUGAAUACACAGUAUUCACUGGAAUAGUGUGAUCGUAUGCAUUUGAACCAAGGCCUCUGGGUUUUUUCUUUUCAACAGUCCUGCCUCAUUCAUGCACAGGAUGUCAAGCAUAUUCAGAGAUCUGAACUUCUCUUACAAGUUUUUAAUGUUCUUUCAUCAGGCUUAAUGAAGUAAAGUCCAAGUAUAAUUUAAACUAGUUCUAGUACACAUAUACAAAU
rnacentral:lncRNA from 1 species